ensembl:lncRNA
UAAGCGUUGUACAGUGAUGUUAGGAUAUUCUCUGUACUGUCCUGUAAAGGCUGAAGUAGCCAAAAAUAAAAGUAAAAUUAAAUUUAAAAAAGACAGCAUGUAAAUUAAAUUUUCUUCUGCAAUUAAGCUGUUGUAUUAUGAGUAUCGAACAGCAUCUGUAUGUAACCUGUUGUUUUUAGUUUAUAACUCAAUUUCCACUCAUUCAUUUUCUUGACUGCUUAUCUAAUUCAAGACAAAUGGAUCAUCUGGUCACAGCUUUCACCAGCUCAGCUCUUCACUGACAAUAGCUCUCUGAACAGCUCUCCAGACCGGACAGCAAACUUAUUGGAUAAGACAAGUGCAUUCAGUACCCACCACCAUCUGAUUGUAAUCUUCUAAUAGGUGUUUGCUCAUUCCAGAGACACACACUUUCAUCAUGUUGCUCUCUGAGACAUCGUUGGUCCUGCUGAUGGUUUGCGGCACUCAGGCUUCACAUUUUUUAGGCACAGUUAUGACCUACUACCCAAAGGACACUUUUGAAAAUGGAUCUGUCACAGUGACCGUUCGGUAUAAACUGAACUUCCACACAGCUGCCUGCAUAAAUGAUGAAACAUGGAAUUGCCUCAGUGGUGAUUGUGGGACUGGAACCUACACUCUACAUGUGGUAAAACAGGAGAGCAGUGGAGACUGGUGUCAGAGAGAGGGAAUCAUGACUCGACAGGUUCCCAGCAACGCUCUGUUUGAACUUCGGUUGGAGGGUAGUGAAUGGAUAUCCAACGUCAAAAAUGACAUUUCAUCAUGGAGAGCUGUGACUCGGGUGGAACUGAGGAACCGGUCCGACACCGGCAAAGCCAACACAUCACCUCAGACCACCAUCCUACCAGCUGUGGGAGUUCCUUCAAACUGUCAGAGAGAUUUCAGCCUGUUGAUGUUUGACCCUGAUGGAGACGAAGUUAAAUGCAGAUAUGGAAACUCUGCACUCUCAGAGUGUAACCCCUGCACUCCACCGUCUGUCCUCAGCCUCUCAUCGUCGUCUUGUACUCUGUCAUUCAGCCCCACCAGCAGCAGUAAUGAAGGUUCGUAUGUAGUACAGCUGGUGAUGGAGGACUUCCCCAGACAGACCAUCACUCUGACUCAAACCAACGGGACACAAACAACAAUAACUACCAACGAUGCCAUCAGCAAAAUACCGAUUCAGUUUGCUUUGAAAGUUGAUCCUGCAGUGCCAUCCUGCACAGAAGGACUCUUUCUGCCCAAGUUUCUUCCUCCAACACCAGCCAACGGAGCUCAGCUCUACAACAAUGUCAGUCAGACUCUGGAAAUUCACAUCACUGCAGAGGCACUUAACUCCACGGUCUCUGAGCUGCUCUACAGCGGGCCGUACAAUUUAAUCAGCAGUCCAUCAGGACCAGGACAGUUCACCCUGAGAUGGACACCAUCUGAAAGCGAAGAAGGACAAAGCCUCCCCAUCUGUUUUGCUGUCCAGGCAGUUUCUCGUGGGACCAAGUAUCACUCAGAGCUUCGAUGUGUCACUGUGACCGUUGUAAAAGGACCAGUAAUAACCACAACACCCGAAACGACUACACCCAGUGAACCAUCUUAUGUUCUCAAAUUGAAGAUUACCUCUUUGGUGGACUUGUCAAAAGUUGAUAGAAAUUACUUACUUACACAGAUCAAAAAUGUGCUGAUAUCCAACGGACUGCCCCAAGACAUGAUCAUACGACUCAUGAGCAGCAAACCACAGAUUGGUGCAAUUGCAGCGCCCUCUACUGGCACAACAUGAACAUCUACUGAACACGUCAUAGACACCUGAGCUUCACUACUGGAACUUCAACAUUAUGCACUCCAUACUGUACAGUAAUGCCACUGUUUUGCACAUGUCUCAACUCUGUAUAUUUUUAUAUAUUUUAUUUUAUUGUUUACUAUUUAAUUUGUAAAAUAUGUGUACACACACACACACACACACACACAUAGAAAAAUAUUUAGUAUACACAUCCAGAAAUGCAUAUACUAUUAUAUAUUGUACAUAUAUUUAUUAGUUUCAG